rnacentral:lncRNA from 1 species
UAAAAUAAUAAUAUUGUUUUCAUUAUGUUAUCUUAUUUGUAUCUCUGUAUAUAUGUGAUAUUUUAAUUGUGUAUAUAUAUUUUUAUCUUGAGUUAGCGCUAUUUCUUCUGUCUUGUCGCUGAACUGUUGUGUUUCCCUCUGGGAUUAAUAGUGAUUAAAAGUGAUCUAUGAUCUAUCUAUGUACCUAAAAUAAACGUCCCCAAAAAAUAUCAAUACAAGCUCAAGCACACAGACACACUUGGCUCUGCACCUGUCAGUAUCAGUAUGAACUGCCGACCAAUCACAGCACAGUGGGCGGGAUCUGUCUGAAUACGGGUGGGAUAAAGAGAGCGCCUGAUGAUUAGAGAUGAAUCCAGGUAAAUGGAAACUUAUUUGUGCUGGGGAAUCCUCGGCCGGGCGUGGGCGGUAGAAACUCCCCUGUUGGGUAACAUGUCUAAACCUGUUCCUCCUGGCUUAUAUAAAGCCAGACUGCGGCUGAUUCAGACCACAAGACCUAGACCGGAUCUCUGUACCUCCAGACCCCAAAAACCGCAACGGCUGCUUUCAGUAGAGCUGCUAUCACAGCUGAGCGGAGACGAGCAGAGGAGAGCAGAGCAUCAUGGACAGGCUUCAUUCAGACAGGUGUGACAGUGUGGAGCUUGAUCCUAAUCUAAGGUUUUGUCUCAGUCCUCCUGGCCAAAGCCCACCAUACACACCUAAUUUAGAGGUGCUUCAAAACCUGGAGAAGAAGAAUCAAGAGCUUCUCGACAUCAAUAAGAAAUGGGCUGAACGAUACAGAACACUGAGACAGCAUGUCAAAAGCUACGAGCUGAGGAAAGAAGAGAAGGAGAAAGACACUAAACAGACUGGACAGGAGGCUGAGCUGAGGGCCCGCCUUCAGGAUGCAGACAGAGAGAUAGCAUGGCUGAGGAUGCACUGUGACACUCUGACCAGAGGAGGGCAACAGCUAAAUGAAGAAAUCAUGAGACUGAAUACGGUCCUGCAGAAGAGCCUGGCAGUUCAACACAAGAGAAACCAGAGAGAGGAAAAUGUUUGGAAACAUCAGGCUCAGGUGUAUAAGGAGGACUUCUUUAAAGAGAGGAAGGAUAGAGAAAUGCUAAUGGCCAAAUACACAGACUUGGAGGAAAAGUUCAAGAAAGUCCAUGAUGAGUUACGUGCUUACAAAUUACAAGCUCGGUGGGCUCAGUUAGGCCCCUCGACAAGCCCCCCAGCACACACAUAACCCAUGUGAUGCAUCAGCGGAGUCCCAUUCAGCUACAGCAUAAAAAACGACUCAAAGCUGACCUUAUUAAGAGCUUACCCUAAGCUGUGCUGCUCCCUUUAUAUAUACCUUUAUUUGUCUGACUGUGUGAUGCUUAUUGUUAGUGUAUUAAGCGUGUUCUAUUAUUUAAAUGGAAUAAUUUAUCUGUAAAUAAAGUUAGUUAUAU